rnacentral:rRNA from 1 species
UAGUUGGUGAGGUAAGGGCUCACCAAGGCGAAGAUAGGUAGCCGGCCUGAGAGGGUGGACGGCCACAAGGGGACUGAGAUACGGCCCUUACUCCUACGGGAGGCAGCAGUGGGGAAUAUUGGACAAUGGAGGAGACUCUGAUCCAGCAAUUCUGUGUGCACGAAGAAGGUUUUCGGAUUGUAAAGUGCUUUCAGCAGGGAAGAAGGAAGUGACGGUACCUGCAGAAGAAGCGACGGCUAAAUACGUGCCAGCAGCCGCGGUAAUACGUAUGUCGCGAGCGUUAUCCGGAAUUAUUGGGCAUAAAGGGCAUCUAGGCGGUAUAUCAAGUCAGGGGUGAAAACUUACGGCUCAACCGUGAGCUUGCCUUUGAAACUGAGAUACUGGAGUACCGGAGAGGUGGGCGGAACUACACGAGUAGAGGUGAAAUUCGUAGAUAUGUGUAGGAAUGCCGAUGAUGAAGAUAGCUCACUGGACGGCAACUGACGCUGAGGUGCGAAAGCUAGGGGAGCGAACAGGAUUAGAUACCCUGGUAGUCCAGGCUGUAAACGAUGAUCACUGGGUGUGGGCAUGUAGAGUGUAUGCGCCGAAGCAAAUGCGAUAA